rnacentral:lncRNA from 1 species
GUCGACGAGCCAAUCUCCGCGCUCGAGCCACCAACAUAGUUCGGAGAGCGACAUAACGGCUUUUUCUUCGCUGCCUUCGUCUCCUCGCGAUGAAUCUGUAAGCGAAGUUCAGCAAUGUCUGCUUAAUCGAAAACAAGUACAUGUUGCUAGAUAAGAAUCUCAGUAAGCGAAUAAUUCAUGAUUCUCUUCGCAGGAGGAUACUUGGGUUGAGAAUGAUGUAUAUGAGCAACUGAAGAAUGCCCUCAUAGAGGCGGAGGACUUAAAGCGCGAAGCAUAUGAAGAGUCCUGCCGGCGCAAGAAGGCCGAGAGAGAUUUGGUUGGGGUUGCUCAAAGAGUAAGGCUUUCUAUAUCGGUGAGAAAUUACAAUUCUUCUUUUAUCGCCUUUCGCCUGCGUAAUCAGAUUUGAAGAAGGCGAAUCACGAAGCCGAUUUUCUCACGCAGGCUAAAGCAGCCGAGAGUUUACACAUCAAAGAGAUGAGACUGAAGAGAGAUACAGAAGAAGAACUGGCAAGAAAAAACGCGGAACUUGAAGAUCUCAGAAAAGUGCAUGAACAAAUUCUCGUCGAAUUGAAGAAUGCAAAUGAGCAAAAAAUGAAACUAGCUAUCCGUGUCGCAAACUGUGAGCGCGUGAUUAAGGAAUUCGAAGCCAAAGCAUCGGAAGCCCACUCGAUCCAAGAAAAGCUCCGACAGGAUGUCGGAAAGUUCGAGAAGGAAAGAAAUGAGGCUGUAAGAGAAGCUGAAGAGUUGCGGAAAGAGAAAGAGGAAACAGUCUCGAGCGCGCUAGCGAGAGCGGCCUUCUCGGAGUUCACCUAUUCGGAGUUGGAGGAAGCGACGAAUAACUUCGACACGUCGUUGCUGAUCGGCGAAGGUGGAUACGGAAAAGUGUACAGGGGCUUCCUUCGCCACACGGUGGUGGCCAUAAAGAUGUUGAAU